CCUACGGGUGGCAGCAGUGAGGAAUAUUGGUCAAUGGGCGCGAGCCUGAACCAGCCAAGUAGCGUGAAGGAUGACUGCCCUACGGGUUGUAAACCUCUUUUAUAAAGGAAUAAAGUGAGGCACGUGUGCCGUUUCGUAGGUACUUUAUGAAUAAGGAUCGGCUAACUCCGUUCCAGCAGCCGCGGUAAUACGGAGGGUCCGAGCGUUUUCCGGAUUUCUUGGGGUUAAAGGGAGCGUAGAUGGGUGGUUAAGGCAAUUGUGAAAGUUGGCGGGUCAAACGUAUAAUUGCCAUUGAAACUGGCAGUCUUGAGUAGAGUAGAGGUAGGCGGAAUGCGUGGUGUAGCGGUGAAAUGCUUAGAUAUCACGAAGAACUCCGAUUGCGAAGGCAGCAUACU
rnacentral:rRNA from 1 species